UUUGACUCAACACGGGAAACCAAAGUCAUGGACAGGAUUGACAGAUUGAUAUCUCUUUCUUGAUUCUGUGGGUGGUGGUGCAUGGCCGUUCUUAGCUGGUGGAGUGAUUUGUCUGGUUAAUUCCAAUAACGAAUGAGACUCUGGCAUGCUAACUAGUUACAAAACCCCGAGAAUAGUUGCCUUGAAACCAUGUUUCAUUACAGUCAAUAAAAAUUCAUUUUUCUUCAGUCUCCUGUCUACUUAGAGCUACGGUUUUCCUCCCCCUGCCCACUUUACCUAUCAGUUUUAAAUUCAUCAUCAAUGUACUCUUUACCAAAUAACCCCCAAUAGUUUUCUACAUUGUCAACCACUAAGAACAUUUUGUGAGUUAGAACAAUGGCAACAAGACAAUCUUAGUAAUUAUUU
rnacentral:ncRNA from 1 species